rnacentral:rRNA from 1 species
UACAGAGGGUGCAAGCGUUGUUCGGAAUUAUUGGGCGUAAAGGGCGCGCAGGCGGUCUUGAAAGUCAGGCGUGAAAGCCCCGGGCUUAACCUGGGAAUUGCGCUUGAUACUCUGAGACUGGAGUACGGGAGAGGAGAGUGGAAUUCCCAGUGUAGAGGUGAAAUUCGUAGAUAUUGGGAAGAACACCAGUGGCGAAGGCGGCUCUCUGGACCGUAACUGACGCUGAGGCGCGAAAGCGUGGGGAGCAAACAGG